rnacentral:rRNA from 1 species
CAGUAGCCGCGGGAAUACGAAGGGGGCUAGCGUUGUUCGGAAUUACUGGGCGUAAACCGCACGUAGGCGGAUUGUUAAGUUAGGGGUGAAAUCCCAGGGCUCAACCCUGGAACUGCCUUUAAUACUGGCAAUCUCGAGUCCGAGAGAGGUGAGUGGAAUUCCGAGUGUAGAGGUGAAAUUCGUAGAUAUUCGGAGGAACACCAGUGGCGAAGGCGGCUCACUGGCUCGGUACUGACGCUGAGGUGCGAAAGCGUGGGGAGCAAACAGGAUUAGAUACCCCAGUAGUCCCUGUCUCUUAUAC